ensembl:lncRNA
GGGUGCGGUCAGGUAGAUACCAUGGCUGAAGCUAGGGGAGUACACAUCUGAUGUGAAUCGAAGUAGAGGAGAUGUCAGUGAUGCCUGGGAGGAGCAAGAUCAGAUGGCUCUCCUGUCUUCUGCUUCUGGGCUCUCAGCUUUUGUGAAACCUUCCACCUCUGCUCCGCUGCAGCCAUUAAGUGGGCCUCCUCAUCACCUACCCUUUCUCUCUCUCUUGUAGAAAGGACUUGGAUCCCUUUCUAGUUGACUAUCAACACAAGGAAAUCCAGGUCUAAAGAAGAAGCCAGAGAAGGAGCAGGGCAGUGGAAGACAGAGAGGUGAGGAAAGGCCAGCACCUGACAUCAUGACAUUGUGCUUCUAAGGUUUGGAAUUCUAGUCCCAGGGUACUUCAUCCCACUGAAUCUGUAUUGCACUGUGACCUGCUUUGACUAGGAAGAAAUGAUGCAGAUCUAGUCCUUAUCUGUGUCUACAGAAAUCCUGGCAUCUUUUAUUUUGUGUCUGAGAAGGCCAUUACCAUCGAAGAAGUUCUGCUACCUUCGGAUCAUUAUGCAAGGAGAAGCCAACGCCAGCCACGCAGAGUUCGUGUGGACAAAGACGGUGGCCCUCAGCCAGCAGAGCUGGGUAGUCACAGCUGUCAGCUAGCACUAAACUCCAGCCACGGGAGUGGGGUCAUCUUAAAAGUGGAUCCUAUUGCCUCACUCAAGCCUCCUCUGGGGAUGCCACAUGGAACCCGAUAAAAUGUGUGCUGGAUUGCUGGUGUGUCAAAACAAACAGAUACAAAAUAGGAGACUCACAUUUAUUCUCUAAUAUAGAGGCCGGAUGUCUGAAACCGAGGUCUUAUGGGUCAGUGCCAGCAUCCCUUCGAAGGCUCUAGCAGGACAAUGACCUUGUAGCUUCCAAUUCCUCACAGCCCCAUCUACUCCCUUGGCUUCGGGGAGCAAGCUCCAAUCUUUGUCUCCAUUUUUUACACGGCUCUUUUCCCUCUAGCUGUGGCCCAAACUUCUUCCUACAAGGAUGCUGGUCAUUGGACCAGGGCCCACCAUAAUGACUUCAUCAGAACAUUAUUACAUCUACAAAGACCUUAUUUCCAAAUAAAGUCACACUUACCAAUCCCGAG